AAACAGGAUUAGAUACCCUGGUAGUCCACGCCGUAAACGAUGUUCAUUAGGUGUGGGAGGUUUCAAUACCUUCUGUGCCGUAGCUAACGCGUUAAAUGAACCGCCUGGGGAGUACGGCCGCAAGGCUAAAACUCAAAGGAAUUGACGGGGGCCCGCACAAGCAGUGGAUCACGUGGUUUAAUUCGAUGAUACGCGAAGAACCUUACCAGCUCUUGACAUCCAGAGAAUUCUCUAGAGAUAGAGAAGUGCCUUCGGGAACUCUGAGACAGAUGGUGCAUGGUUGUCGUCAGUUCGUGUCGUGAGAUGUUGGGUUAAGUCCCGCAACGAGCGCAACCCUCGUCCUAUGUUGCUACCUUUUGGAGCACCCUUAGGAGACUGCCUGUGGAAAACAGGAGGAAGGUGGGGAUGACGUCAAAUCAUCAUGCCUCUUACGAGCUGGGCUACACACAUGAUACAAUGGGUAGUACAAUGGGUUGCCAAACCGCGAGGUGGAGCUAAUCUCAAAAAACUAUCCUCAGUUCGGAUUGUAGUCUGCAACUCGACUACAUGAAGUUGGAAUUGCUAGUAAACGCAGAUCAGCACGCUGCGUUGAAUACGUUCCCGGGCCUUGUACACACCGCCCGUCACACCAUGAGAGCCGGAAAUACCCGAAGUCAGUGAGCUAACCGCAA
rnacentral:rRNA from 1 species